rnacentral:misc_RNA from 1 species
GUUUAUGACAAUAUAUUUUUUCCUCCCUCAUUGGCUAUGCAUUCAGUCCAUGAACUCAAGAGAUCCCCAAGAUCUUUUGCCCUUAUGACUACAUGAAAUGCAUAGUGACUAGUGACAUAAAAAAUCUCAAGGCUAUAAUUGAUUGAACCCAAGUCCAGCAACAUUUUGUAGAGGAGCUGAACUAGUCAAUUUUCGCCGUUCCAUUGCAGCAUAUGUUGCUCUUUAAGGUUCCUGGUUUCAUCUAGGCAUAGAUUUACCUUGCUUUCCUGGCUCCACAAAGUGUAGAGAGAGUGAUUUUGGAGCUGCAUCCUUUCUUCCUGGGGAUGAUAAGUUAACUGUAUGGUAUCGAAAAAACGUUGACGUUAUAAGGUUUUGUUGAUAAAAAAUAACUUAUG